rfam:Poecilia formosa, whole genome shotgun sequence.
ACAACGGCUCUUUUAAGAGCCACACACUCAUUACAUCAUGAGAGC